rnacentral:lncRNA from 1 species
CUCAAAGUGCAAUUAAGAAGGGAGGCGCGACUUCCCCAAAUUUAUUGACAGAGACCAGCAGGAGCGCGCACGCAUUUCUGACGUAUCCUCAACUACUUAGUCACAACUGACCCAUUUCUGAGAUCAAAUUAUGGAUAUGUUUACCUUUGAUCACAAAUAAGUGACAUGUAAACGCGUUAUUGCGACCAAAAAUAAUUAAUUACAGGAGGAGUGAUAUUCAGUGGAUGUACGAGAAAAAUCACGUAAAUCCUUACCUGCAGAAAUGCAUUGACCAUGGACUAUUGAAGAAUACAAAUUGGUUCAAAACGUGAUAUUAUCUUAAUGCAUAAGUUGUAAUAGAUGUAAGUACUGGUUAUGCCAACUAAAAAAAGUGUGUACAAAUAUUACAUGCUGAAUAAGAUGGGUACUUUUAUUAAAUGAAAAAGCUUAAUAUAUUCAGAAAUGUAUUCAUAAAUUGAUAAAUUAUAUAGAUGUAUUUUCAAGAUGGCUGAAAAUAACAUUUUUCAACGUGAAAACUAAUUUCAUAUGCAUUUUACCAGCUGUAGACUGGUGUCAACCAAAAACCUGAAUUAAUUGUUAAUAAUUUAGUUUAAGAAAUCUGUUUACUAAACAAUGCUUAAUAGUCCAUAAACAAUAACGUUUCCAGGCAGAAUGUGAAUUUUCUGAACUGCGUGGUGUUAAGCUGACCGUCACGUGGCAUUGAAACAAUUCCUUCAUCUGAACACGAGGGCGAGACAUUUCUGCAAAAGUCUUAUUUCGUCAUCAGUGGGCGACAGAGGCUACACGGAAAACUAUAAAUUGUGACGCAAACACGUCGCUAGCCCUUUUCCGACCUGCUUCGUGUCUCACCACAUGUUGUGAGGUCGCCACGUUUACUUUGUUAAACAAGUCUAAACGUUUCCUAGAACUUGUGACUAGUAAAGUUUUAGAUGAUGCCAGAGAUGGAAGGUUCUUCAAGAGUUGGUGACUUAAGUAUUAGUCAUCAUUUCUGAUAAAUGCGGGUGAGUACUUGAUUACCCCCCCCCCCCUAAUGUUCCAAUUAAACUUAAAGGCCUGCUCCCAGAACACCAGUUGAGCCAUGCCAGAACCCAUCUAGACUUAAAGUACCUGUCUUAUUGUGGGUUUUUAAAUCAAGCCAAAUUUAAUAGCUUUAAAUAGACGUGGUUGGCCACUUUCUGCUUGCCUGGUUUUCAGAGGUCUUGGACUUAAGAGCAGGACAGGGGAGCUGUGAGAGAUCUGGUGGUCAAUGGGCGUGCAUGCUGCCCUCUACUGUACCAACAUUUUGGUUAGUAGUGCCUUCACACUCAUAGUUUGAGUGGAGCUAGCAAUGGCGAUCACUCGACUCCAUGUGGCGCUGUUGGCACACCCCAACUGGUGCUCUAAGAGUAGGCCUUGUAACUGCAUCCACUGAUAGACCUGAAGCAGGCUUCAUUGGCUUCUGUGUUUGCAUAGAGAUGCUAAAGUAAGUUUUCCUCUCACUUUCUUUCUGCCUGUUUAUGGCAGCACAGAAUAAAUUGAGGAAAACAUGAGCUUGUGGCAUGUGAUAUUAGCUUUUCUUGUGAAACAUUUCUGUUUACAGGACUAAAUCUGUCUUUCAAUUUUAUUAAACAUGGCUAACUUUGAUGGCCUGCUUUCAGUACGUUAGCUGGACUGUGCCAGGGUUCAUCUGGCUCCAAAGUAGGUCUGGUUUGACAGCUCUGGAUCUCUAGCGCCGUCUCUGGGCACCACCUUGCAGAGGUGUGCAAGGCAUCAGUCCAUGAACUCCAGAAUAGAUUAGUGGUCGUU